GGCCCUGUCUUCUAGAGGCCUAGGAAGUUGGAUUUUCAUUCCAAAAACACGGGUUCGAAUCCCGUCAGGGUCA
rnacentral:tRNA from 1 species